rnacentral:tRNA from 1 species
CGAAAUCCGUAGACGCUACGACUAAAAUCCGUCGACUUUAGAAAUCGUGAGGGUUCAAGUCCCUCUAUCCCCA